rnacentral:rRNA from 1 species
AUACGGAGGGUGCAAACGUUAAUCGGAAUUACUGGGCGUAAAGCGCGCGUAGGUGGUUUAGUAAGUCGGAUGUGAAAGCCCUGGGCUCAACCUGGGAAUUGCAUUCGAUACUGCUUGACUAGAGUAUGGUAGAGGGAAGUGGAAUUUCCGGUGUAGCGGUGAAAUGCGUAGAUAUCGGAAGGAACACCAGUGGCGAAGGCGACUUUCUGGGCCAAUACUGACGCUAAGGCGUGAAAGCGUGGGGAGCAAACAGGAUUAGAAACCCCAGUAGUCC